GCUGGGCAUAGUGGCGUGUGCCUGUAGUCCCAGCUACUUGGGAGGCUGAGGCAGAAGAAUUGCUUGAACCCAGGAGGCAGAGAUUGCAGUGAGCCAAGAUUGCGCCACUGCACUCCAGCCUGGGCAACNNNNNNNNNNGUUGCCCAGGCUGGAGUGCAGUGGCGCAAUCUUGGCUCACUGCAAUCUCUGCCUCCUGGGUUCAAGCAAUUCUUCUGCCUCAG
rfam:Gorilla gorilla gorilla genomic chromosome, chr3, whole genome shotgun sequence